UCCCUAGCUUGAGACUCAAACUCCGGAAGCCGACCUGCCAACAGACAUUGUGGGAGAAUACUCUUCACCAUCAUCAGAAAAUGUUGCUUAGCGGCAACCUUGAAAUAGGGUCAAGUUUGACUGCAUCAAGCUCUAAAGCCGGGUAUUCUGAGCCAGCUCGAAGCCUUAUAGCUAGAUCAAAGACUGCCGUAAGUUGCAUCUUGAGUCUUAAGAAUUGGGUCCCUUAGCCCCUGGAUUGGUGCGCAAGCAAAAGAAGAACAAAAAAGAGGGGCCUCUGGCUUAUUAAGAAGCAUAUAAACGACAUACUAAGCAGAAGCGCGUAGACGAAGGGAGAGGGGCUUUUUCGAAAGGCUAGAAACUUAUACGUAUAUAGAUAUAGUGAGUGUGCGUGCGGGGUGUAGGUAUACCACUUACGAGAAAGAACCCCAAGUCAGUAAAGUAGUUAACCAAACACAAGUAAGAAGUUCGUCAGUCCUUCCUCCGAUG
rnacentral:lncRNA from 1 species